CUUUUUUAGUAAGUGAGGUGAGAAGUGUAUGUGUUGAAUCAAUGGUGGAUCCAGAGAAGAAGAAGAGCUUCGUCAGAAUUAGUGCGGGGAUGAUGUGUUCGAUCUUGUGCUGUGUAAGUGCAGCUUUGGUGGAGAGAAAGAGGCUUAACAUUGUGAUGUUAAACCAGAUGAAGAUGAGUAUGUAUUGCCUGGUUUUCCAGUUUGUUUUAUUAGGAGGGAUUGAAUCCUUUUUGGAUAAGAGUGUGAGUGCAUACUACAAAACGAUCAGUCGUCCGUAUCAGUGCAAAAAUACGUCGAAACCGGUUUGGGAUACAUGUGCAGUUGAGUUUGUUGUGGGGAAGAUAAUUGAGAGAGGAGGCAAGUCAAACUGGAUUCAACAUAGCUAGAACCAGAGUCGUCUGGACCGGUACUACUGGUUGCUGGCGGGUUUGAGUUUGCUGAAUAUGGUGCUGUUCGUGUUUGUGGCCUCGUGUUAUAGAGACAAGAACCCAAAAGAAGAUAUGGCAGGCAGGGAAGCGCAUGAUGCGGGUGCCGCCUGAUUACAUGGAUGUAUGUAAUGAAGGAUGAUCAUUUUAUUGUUGUACUCUAUACAGUAGAUGUAUCACCAAAUGUAUUAGAUGCUCUUUUCCAAUCAUAAUGUCGUGUUCUUGCUUUUGUUAAGACUUGGAUCGGUAUAAACAACUCCUAUGUUGUUUCUUAGCAGCAGUGCUCAUAUGUAUAAGGAUAUUGUUCUUGAACUUUCAGUCACCAUAUUUUUCUGUUUAA